GCCGCGCCCCGUCCGCCGUCCAGGCCCUGCGGGCCCGAUCGCAAGAUGGCGGCGCCCAGCGGAAGGAGGAACGGCGGCGACGGUGCGAGCUUGUGGGCUGCGCUGCUCCUGGCGGCCGUGGCGCUGAGGCCCGCAGAAGCGGUGUCCGAGCCCACGACGGUGGCGUUUGACGUGCGGCCCGGCGGCGUCGUGCACACCUUCUCCCAGAACGUGGGCCCUGGGGACAAGUAUACGUGUGUCUUCACCUACGCUUCUCAAGGAGGGACCAACGAGAAGUGGCAGAUGAGCCUGGGGACCAGCGAAGACCACCAGCACUUCACCUGCACCAUCUGGAGGAUGAUGCUCCAACCAACUGAGCCACCCAGCCAGGGCGACACAGCACGUUUUAAUCACACUUGCAGGUGUCAUCCCACAGUCUCAGUGCUAAGCAAGCAGCAGGCCCCAGGGCAAGUCCUACCUGUACUUCACACAGUUCAAGGCAGAGGUGCGGGGUGCGGAGAUCGAGUACGGCAUGGCCUACUCUAAAGCUGCGUUUGAAAGAGAGAGUGACGUUCCCCUGAAAAAUGAGGAAUUUGAAGUGACCAAAACAGCAGUGUCCCACAGGCCCGGGGCGUUCAAGGCUGAGCUGUCCAAGCUGGUGAUCGUGGCCAAGGCAUCACGCAGUGAGCUGUGACCAGCAGCCCCCUUGAGGGCGGCUUCCUCUCAUCUCUACUGAAAGGGCGGUGCCCUGUGAGAUCGGGCACAUGUUUGGCUUUCUAGGGGGCACUGUUGGUUUUCUGCCUGGCUGAUGUUGCCCUCCUCAGACGGGUUCCAGGGUGGCUGAGGCCCUGGGACAAAGUCCAGGGGGCCAGGAGGUUGAGCGGUGCUGUGCCCCCCUCCCAGUUCCCCAUCUCCCCAGCACCACCACCACACAUCCCUGCCCCCGCUCUUCUGAACACAGAGUGUGGGUCUGAGCCCGCUGCUGCUUGUCGUACCAGAAGAGGCAUCAGCACAGUUGGGGGGCCGCAGCUUCCUAAAGCCAGCAUGUCUCCCUUGGGAUCAGGCCAGACUCCGAUGCUCCGGGGAAGAGUAGUCCUGCUGCCCUCUGACCUCAGGUUGACUGUUUUCUUACAACUUCCCCAGGAGACCACCUUCCAGACUAACUGGGAAGAAGUGAAAUGUCCUUUUGUAUUUAAAUAAAUAAGAGUUUAAAGGGAA